GCCGAGGUCGCAUAACCAGGUAGUGCACCAGCCUUGAGAGCUGGCGCCCCUCGUGGGCAUGUGGGUUCAAAUCCCACCCUCGGCG
rnacentral:tRNA from 1 species